AAAAAAAAAAAAUUACACACACCACACACACACAAAAACAAAAUUCAGGACACUACCACCAAUGCCUAACAAUCACCAAGAACAUUACGGCCAAGAUAAAGAAAUAUGGCUUUUACUAGGCUUAAUUGGUCCCUUAAGAGAAAGCAUGACCAUUCUCUCAUUUCUGUGUGGUUAAUUAUGGUACUUGUUUUAUAUAAUGGAAGUUUAAUUAAUCUUAUGGUAUCUCCUUUUUUCUUUUUUUUCUUUUUUUUUUUUCACUCCAAAAUAUUAAUAAGAAAACUCAGCAUUGCACUUAAACGAACGAUCAUCCCUCGACAAACUAUCUACUAUUACUAUUAUCUAUUAUUAUUCUAUUGUUUUCACUCUCUUAUCUAAGGCAGUUCAUCCCCCAAACUAUUCACUAUUACUUUAUAUAACUAUCAUCUCCAUUUACUAUCAGUCACUCCAUCAACCCAAGUGUAUUUACCAUCACUACUGUUAUUUGUUAUUACUUGCUAUCAAUUAAAGGCACUCAAUUAACCAAAAAAUAUAUCAAUACUUUUAUCAUUUAUCGCCAUUCAUUAACUAUCUAUGGCAAGCCAAUGACUAAAACUAUCUAUCAUCACUCCUAUUAUUUGACUAAUCUAACAUACUCUUUUACUAUCAAAGGUACUCAGUAAACAAAAGCUGUAUCAUUAGUUUUAUCAUUUAUCAACACUAUCAUCUCUAUUCAUUAACUAUCUAUGGCAACCCACUGACUAAAACUAUUUAUCAUCACUCCUAUUAUUUGACUAAUCUAACAUCCUCUUUUACUAUCAAAGGCACUCAGUAAACAAAAGCUGUAUCAUUAGUUUUAUCAUUUAUCAACACUAUCAUCUCCAUUCAUUAACUAUCUAUGGUAUUCCACUGACAAACUAUUUAUUAUCACUCCUAUAUUAUUUGACUAAUCUAACAUCCUCUUUUACUAUCAAAGGCACUCAGUAAACAAAAGCUGUAUCAUUAGUUUUAUCAUUUAUCAACACUAUCAUCUCCAUUCAUUAACUAUCUAUGGCAACCCACUGACCAAAACUAUUUAUUAUCACUCCUAUUAUUUGACUAAUCUAACAUCCUCUUUUACUAUCAAAGGCACUCAGUAAACAAAAGCUAUAUCAUUAGUUUUAUCAUUUAUCCACACUAUCAUCUCUAUUCAUUAACUAUCUAUGGUAUUCCACUGACAAACUAUUUAUCAUCACUCCUAUUAUUUGUCUAAUCUAACAUCCUCUUUUACUAUCAAAGGUACUCAGUAAACAAAAGCUAUAUCAUUAGUUUUAUCAUUUAUCAACACUAUAAUCUAUAUUCAUUAACUAUCUAUGGUAUUCCACUGACAAACUAUUUAUUAUCACUCCUAUAUUAUCUGACUAAUCUAACAUCCUCUUUUACUAUCAAAGGCACUCAGUAAACAAAAGCUAUAUCAUUAGUUUUAUCAUUUAUCAACACUAUCAUCUCUAUUCAUUAACUAUCUAAUCUAAGGCAACCCAUUGAGGAAAAUCAUCUGCAAUUACUACUGGCAUUUCUUACUAUUCUUUUGUCUUCAUUCUGUAUUACCUAAGGCACCAUUAACGCAACCCAUCUGUCAUUACGUACGGAUUAACAGGUUUAGAAAAGGAUUAAGAGCCUUAGAAGAGGUUUAGGAGGAGGACAAAGAGGAUUAAGAGCUUUAGAAGAGGUUUAGGAGGAGGACAAAGAGGAUUAAGAGCUUUAGAAGAGGUUUAGGAGGAGGACAAAGAGGAUUAAGAGCUUUAGAAGAGGUUUAGGAGGAGGACAAAGAGGAUUAAGAGCUUUAGAAGAGGUUUAGGAGGAGGACAAAGAGGAUUAAGAGCUUUAGAAGAGGUUUAGGAGGAGGACAAAGAGGAUUAAGAGCUUUAGAAGAGGUUUAGGAGGAGGACAAAGAGGAUUAAGAGCUUUAGAAGAGGCUUAGGAGGAGGACAAAGAGGAUUAAGAGCUUUAGAAGAGGCUUAGGAGGAGGACAAAGAGGAUUAAGAGCUUUAGAAGAGGUUUAGGAGGAGGACAAAGAGGAUUAAGAGCUUUAGAAGAGGUUUAGGAGGAGGACAAAGAGGAUUAAGUCUUGGAACUCCCUAACCUCUCACAAACACUUCAAAUAUUCUAACUACGCAUGUUACUAGUGCUACCAAAAUUUGAACUUUCUUAUCCUCUUGAUCUGAAUGCUGUCAUGGUAAAAGUAUAGCCAGUUCCUCUCUUCCUCCCUCUUUGUUCAACUUUCCCUUCUCUUCUGUGCAAGCUGAUAUCUUCCUCCCUUUUUGUGAGACCCGAUUUCUCUUCCUCCGUUCUCUUCUUCCCUUCUGUCAACGUGAUCUUCUCUUUCUCCCUUCUGUCCUUUCCUUCUGUUAACCUGAU